GGGAAAAAAAAAAAAGACUUCAUUAUCUCUUCUUGAAGUGAUGCCAUAAAAAUUCAGUGAAGCGGAGUUCUAAAGCACAGAGCCACCUCACAGGUACAGAAUUGAUGUGUCAAAAAAAUAUCCCUUACGUUAUUCAAGUAAGAACUGAGAUCAUGUUAAAACAGACUCAAAGGGAAUUUAAAAACAAACAAACAAACAAACCCUAAUACAGACAACGGAAAGUUGGGAAUGCAGAAGAGAAAUUAGCCAAUAGAUAAAGGGUUGGUUAAAAAUCAAAUACUUAUCUGACUCAGACACAGCUUUAAUUUCUCAAGUCAAACAAUUGGAUAUUUUACUAACAGUAUUCUACAACUUACAGAGUUGUAAAGUACCUCGUGACAAUGAAAAGCUCGGGUGCCAUAGAUUAACCAUUGGUCCCCUUUUCUCACCAUAGACCAGGGCAUAUUCAACAUACUAAACGAAAGGUUCCAGAAUUAUUAAGUCACAAGGUCUCAAUAACCUAUUAGCAUGUUAUUAUCAUUGUUCUACUGUAUGGGUAUGUUGUGCUUUUAUUGUCCCUGUUUUAUAAAACAAACUUGGGGGCUGGAGAGAGAGCUAGUGGUUGAAAAGCACCUAGGCUUGCAGAGGACCCAGGUUCAGUUCCCAGUACCCACAGCAGGUGGCUCACGAUCACCUGUAACUUCAGGUUCAGGGUAUCUAAUGCCCUCUUCUGGCCUCUGUGGGCACCAGGCACACAUGUAUACAUAAACACUCAUACACAUAAAAGUAAAAUUUAUUUAAAAGUCUUUAUAAACUUUCAUAAGUAUGUAUUGGUAGAAAACACACAUAUAAACACGUGCACAGCACACACACACACAGUUGUUCCAGGCUAGCUCUAGGGUUUGGGAAUAUAGACCCUGGAAAUAAGGGAGACUUGAAAAUCUAAAAGGAUUUAUUAAGCAGUACGUAGCUUUUCAUUGAAGCUUAUACACACAGAGACACACACAGAGAGACACAUUUGUGUCUGUGGUGCUAAAGAUGGAAGCCAGGGCCUUGGCUCUUAAGGCAAGAGCUUUACUAAACACUAACUUUAUAUCCCCAGCCCUAGCCAGAAAUAUUUUGAUCUAUAUCUGUCUUUCACAAUGUUCUAGACAAGGCAUGCUAUGACUUAUAUUGGCAUCCUUACCAAGAAGUUCAUCUUAACUUAAAUCCGCAUAGUAAAGCAUGAUUGACAAAAACUGCACAGGAGGAUUCCAAACGCUCUGCAAACCUCCAGCACUCUCCCUCCCCGUGAGACACUGCCCUAGAGCACUGGAUCAUGCUAUAGCCCAUGGGUCGAAUCAGGUCACACAGCUAUUUUGUAAAUAUUUUUACUGGGAUACAGCCAUCCCCAUUGCUUAUGUGUCGGACUGGCUGAUUUUGCCCACAAGAGCAGAGAUAAUAGAAACCAUGGCCUGAAGAGCCUAAAGUAUCUACAUUUAACCAUGACCCUCACCAAGAAAACUCACCCAACACCUCUUUUAGGUUCCCAGUUCCCAGGAGUGCUGCCUUUAAACCAGCAGUUUGGGUCUCAUCUGCCAGCCUAUUAGAACUCUCAGUUCUAAUACAAGCUAUAACAGUUUAAUUUGUUGGGCAUAGUAAUUCCAGCUCUGGAACAAGUAGGAGGAUCAGACAUUCAAAAUCAUCUUUAGCUACGAGUAUUUUCCAGGCCAGCCUGCACUAUAUGAGACCUGAUAUUUAAAGUUAAAAUGUUUUAAAUAUAUAUCAGAAACAUCACACAUGGUGGUGCAUCACUAUAAUCACAACACCUGGGAGGCACAGGCUGGCAGAUCUGAGCUUGAGGCUGGGCUGAUAUACAGGAUGAAUUCCAGGACAGGACAGACUGGACUACAAAGAGAAACCCUAUCUGAAAUC
rnacentral:lncRNA from 1 species